CCUACGGGUGGCAGCAGUGAGGAAUAUUGGUCAAUGGACGAGAGUCUGAACCAGCCAAGUAGCGUGAAGGAUGACUGCCCUAUGGGUUGUAAACUUCUUUUAUAUGGGAAUAAAAUGUUCCACGUGUGGGAUUUUGUAUGUACCAUAUGAAUAAGGAUCGGCUAACUCCGUGCCAGCAGCCGCGGUAAUUAGGCGGAUCCGAGCGUUAUCCGGAUUUAUUGGGUUUAAAGGGAGCGUAGGUGGAUUGUUAAGUCAGUUGUGAAAGUUUGCGGCUCAACCGUAAAAGUGCAGUUGAAACUGGCAGUCUUGAGUACAGUAGAGGUGGGCGGAAUGCGUGGUGUAGCGGUGAAAUGCUUAGAUAUCACGAAGAACUCCGAUUGCGAAGGCAGUUCACUGGACUGCAACUGACACUGAGGCUCGAAAGUGUGGGUAUCAAACAGGAUUAGAUACCCCGGUAGUC
rnacentral:rRNA from 1 species